ACUCUCAGAGCCGUGUGUGUGUGAGAUGUUUAACAAAGUGCAUCCAUGUUCUUUUUCCCUCUGCAGGUCUCUGCCCUUGACCAGGAGAUCAUUGAAGUUGACCCAGAUACUAAGGAAAUGCUGAAGCUGCUGGACUUUGGCAGUCUGUCCAACCUGCAGGUCACGCAGCCCACUGUGGGAAUGAACUUCAAAACACCCAGAGGAGCUAUCUGAAUCCAUUGCUGCGCUUUCACUUUUCCAAUAAAUGUGGGAAACCAAACCUG